UUUAUUUUAUAGAAAUUAGUGCAUACACUGUUUGUUUUUAUGAAAUUUAUGCAUUAUAUUUUUCUUCUCUUUCAUAAAAAUAUAAAAACUGAUUUACUGAACAUACUUAGCGCAUAAUUGAUUAAGAAUUUGAUGAUUGGUAUUUGAUGCUUCAAGUUUUUUUUUAAAAAUAAAAUAGCAACUUGAUCUAUGUAUCGCUGAUACUUCCACGAAACAA
rnacentral:lncRNA from 1 species